CCAUCAUCACCAUCAUCCUGACUAGUCUUUCAGGCGAUGUGUGCUGGAAGACAUUCAGAUCCAGUAAUGACCUCAGAACUCCAUCUGGAUUUGUUCAGAACGCUCGGUUGCCGCCGGGCGUUUUUUAU
rfam:Hybrid E.coli his-lambda-t-0 leader RNA.